UUCUCCCCCCUAUAACAUAAUAUUGAAUACCAUACAUGCAGGGUUCGGUCAAAAUAGGAAGAACUAUAAGAUGAAACCUCUGGGAAGCGCCUUAUUCAACUUGCCUGCCAUUUCUUUUAAGAGUCGACCUUCUAUAUUUGCUCCUUAGUCACCUAGAAAGAUAUUCCACCUCUUAGAGCUUAAUCCCCCUAUUUCACGGAAGACCGGCGGGUUUCCUUUUGUAGUAAGUGUAAGUCAAUCCUUACUUCAAAGAGUUGUCUUCCGCCCGGAGAAGAGAGAAAUAGAGAAAGGAGUUUACUACAGAAAAGUUAGAGUAAGGUUGUUUAUUAAAGAAAGGACACCUGUAAGGCAGACAAAGAAAAGCAGUAAGGGGGCGAAGCAGUCAAGCAGGUAAGAAAGUCAUAAAGGCACGAAGGGAAUAUAUCCAUACUAGUAAUCCGGUAAUCCGAUAAUCAGUAUUGGACAUGCCCUACCUCUCUCCGCCAAUGACUAGGUUAGCUAUCUCUGCCUUCCUCCUCUCUCUCCCUUUGUUUAGCAAGAUAGGAGUACUCUUUCCCGCUUUGCGCGAGCAAAGGCAUGAAGGAGCUCACCUUCGGCUAAGGCAUUCAUUCAAAGGAUUUUUGCUUCAUCUGACGCCCAUCUGAGAGCGGUAAGAGUACUUAACAUUUCCCUUCGGUAAGCAUUCCUUUAGGAAGUAGGAAGUAAUCCCUUGCUGCUUUCUAUGAUUUAGAAGUUCUUUAUUUUUUAGUANNN
rnacentral:lncRNA from 1 species